rnacentral:tRNA from 1 species
CGGCUCGUAGCUAAAUAGCAAAGCGUCACCCUUACGCCGUGAAGAUUCCCGUGCAAAUCGGGCCAAGCCGA